UAGACCAUUUAUCGGUGGAUCU
rnacentral:siRNA from 1 species